GAUUGAACGCUGGCGGCAUGCUUUACACAUGCAAGUCGGACGGCAGCGGGGUAGUGCUUGCACUACUGCCGGCGAGUGGCGAACGGGUGAGUAACAUAUCGGAACGUACCGGGCAGUGGGGGAUAACUGAUCGAAAGAUCAGCUAAUACCGCAUAUUUUCUGAGGAAGAAAGCAGGGGACCUUCGGGCCUUGCGCUAUCCGAGCGGCCGAUAUCUGAUUAGCUGGUUGGCGGGGUAAAGGCCCACCAAGGCGACGAUCAGUAGCGGGUCUGAGAGGACGAUCCGCCACACUGGGACUGAGACACGGCCCAGACUCCUACGGGAGGCAGCAGUGGGGAAUUUUGGACAAUGGGCGCAAGCCUGAUCCAGCCAUGCCGCGUGUCUGAAGAAGGCCUUCGGGUUGUAAAGGACUUUUGUCGGGGAAGAAAAGGCUGUUGCUAAUAUCAGCGGCUAAUGACGGUACCCGAAGAAUAAGCACCGGCUAACUAC
rnacentral:rRNA from 1 species